UACCGCGUAGCUCAGUUGGAAGAGCAUUGGGCUAGUAUUCCAAAGGUCGUAGGUUCAAAUCCCACCGUGGCCG